CGGGGUGAGUAACACGUGAGCAACCUGCCUUUAAGAGUGGGAUAACGGUCGGAAACGACCGCUAAUACCGCAUAAUAUACAUGAAUCGCAUGGUUUGUGUAUCAAAGAUUUAUCGCUUAAAGAUGGGCUCGCGUCUGAUUAGCUGGUUGGUGAGGUAACGGCUCACCAAGGCGACGAUCAGUAGCCGUACUGAGAGGUAGAACGGCCACAUUGGGACUGAGACACGGCCCAGACUCCUACGGGAGGCAGCAG
rnacentral:rRNA from 1 species